UACGGGAGGCAGCAGUGGGGAAUAUUGGGCAAUGGGCGCAAGCCUGAUCCAGCAAUGCCGCGUGUGUGAAGAAGGCCUGCGGGUUGUAAAGCACUUUCAGUAGAGAAGAAAAGCCUACGGUUAAUACCCGUGAGUCUUGACGUAACCUACAGAAGAAGCACCGGCUAACUCCGUGCCAGCGACCGCGGUAAU
rnacentral:rRNA from 1 species